UCCUAGCCCUGAUAGAAACGGCAUCCUUUUUUGGGAUUGACGGAGCAAAGCGGAGACGAUCACAAAAAAGAUAUAGUGAAUAGCGGGAAAAAGC
rnacentral:sRNA from 1 species